UACGUAGGUGGCAAGCGUUUGUCCGGAUUUAUUGGGUUUAAAGGGUGCGUAGGCGGCCUUGUAAGUCAGUGGUGAAAUACUCCAGCUUAACUGGAGGGGUGCCAAUGAUACUGCAGGGCUUGAGUACAGAUGAGGUAGGCGGAAUUGACGGUGUAGCGGUGAAAUGCAUAGAUAUCGUCAAGAACACCGAUAGCGAAGGCAGCUUACUGGGCUGUAAACUGACGCUGAGGCACGAAAGUGUGGGGGAUCAAACAGG
rnacentral:rRNA from 1 species